rnacentral:sRNA from 1 species
AGGAAGAGGAAGAGAAGUGUCUCUCAAAUCCUAUGCAGUCUGUGGCCCAUGCACUCCGAAAGUCUAUAUACAUGGUAUAGGUUAAGACUGCCAGAAGGUAAUUUACCACCAAUAAGCUACCUCAGCACAUUUGAAAUUAAUGAAGGCAACAGAGUGGGAAUUGGUAAUCCUCCAGGAUAAGCAGACUAGUGGGUGUUCAGAGCACAAUGGGCUAUUUUAAGGUGACCCCAGGAGGCAAAGACACCUUACAAGAUGCUACACUGUCCGAGUUCCUGAUUGGCCUACCAAGGAAUGUGGCUCCAGGUAUUGGUCCUGUUACAUCUUUUCCAUAAAAUAACACUAUGGUGGUUUGAAUAUGCUUGGCCCCUGGGAAGUGGCACUAUUCGGUGGUAUGGCCUUGCUGGAUUAGGUUUGGCCUUGUUGAAGGAAGUGUGUUACUGUGAAGGAGAACUUUGAGGCCUUAGUGCUCAAGCUCUACCCCGUAUAGGAGAGACCCUCCUCAUGGCUGCCUGCAGAAGCCAGUCUCUGCCUGGCCGCCUUCGGAUCGGCAUGUAGAACUCUCCGCUCCUCCAGCACCAUGCCUGCCUGCACACUGCCAUGCUUCCUUUCAUGAUGACAAUGGGCUGAUCCUCUGACACUGUAAGCCAGCCCCAAUUAAAUGUUGUCCUUUACAAAAGUUACCUUGGCCGUGGUGUCACUUCACUGCAAUGAAACCCUAACAAAAAGGAUUUUGUAAGCUAGGUACGGUGACACACAUCUGUAAUGCCAGCACUGAGUAGGCUAAGGAAUGGGCAUGGGAAUUUCUAGGUCAUCCUGAGCAACAAAGUAAGCUCCAGACUGGCAAGACCAUGUCUCAAAAAAAAAAAAAAAUAGAACAGAAGAAGAAUAAAGAGGUGUGUUUCUGCAGUGUAAUUUAUCUACUAGAUUAGUGAUUCUCAACCUUCCUAAUGCUGGGACUCCAUGUUAGUUUAAUUUAGUUGUUUAAUUUAGUUCCCUAUGUUGUGGUGACCCCAACCAUAACAUUAUUUCUGUUGCUACUCCACAGUAGUGACUUUGCUAAUGUCGUGGAUCGUAACGUAAAUGUCUGAUAUGCAGGAUAUCUGAUAUGUGACCCCCACAAAGGUUUUGCGACCCACAGGUUGAGAUCACUGAUCUAGAUGCUUUUUACAUUGGCAAAACAAAAUUCAGGAACUUGUUUCCACAUGUCCAAAGCACCUCCUCUCAUCUAGGGUCACAGUCAGUAUUUUAGCAUCUAUCUGCCUUAGUCCCAUAUCAAUGGUAAUUAAGACAUGAUUCAUGAGGAAAAGGCAAAUAUAUUAGUCUUCCAUUUAAAAAGGAUGGCACUAAGGAAAAAAAACAACAGACUUGCCCAACAUUAUAUAUCCAGGCAGAGUUCAAGUUCAUGGCUCUUGCCCAGAGUUAACGGCCUGUCAAUCAAUCCACUUGAAGGACAAAGAAAGUAAAGUGGAGCCAGCACUUGCCUGGUGUGUGGGAUGUUCUGAGUCUGAAUUCCCAACUCUUGAAAAAAAAA